CCACCAUAUUCAAAAACCACACUACAGAAAAAUGCACGCCUGCAUUCAAAUGUCAAUACAUGCAAACCCACCCGUAUAUUCACUCACACAUACUCCAUACAAAAACAUGCUUAGAUUCAAACACACAAACAGUGCUUGGUCCUAAAUACAUAAAAAUAAAAACACUGACCUGUGCUAAAGACAUUUAAAAAAUUUGCAGGUGUUUUUUUUUUACAUUUUUUUUAGGGGGGGUGCCAAAUAUAGGGUCCACCCCGGGUGCCAAAUGCUCCAGGUAUGCCUCUGCAC